rnacentral:rRNA from 1 species
UACGUAGGGGGCAAGCGUUGUCCGGAAUCAUUGGGCGUAAAGAGCGUGUAGGCGGCCCGGUAAGUCCGCUGUGAAAGUCCAGGGCUCAACCCUGGGAUGCCGGUGGAUACUGUCGGGCUCGAGUCCGGAAGAGGAGUGUGGAAUUCCCGGUGUAGCGGUGAAAUGCGCAGAUAUCGGGAGGAACACCAAUGGCGAAGGCAGCUCGCUGGGACGGUACUGACGCUGAGGCGCGAAAGCGUGGGGAGCAAACAGG